ensembl:snRNA U6 U6 spliceosomal RNA
GUGCUUGCUUUGGUAGCACAUACACUAAAAUUGGAACGAUACAGAGAAAAUUAGCACAGCCUCUGCACAAGGAUGACAUGAAAAAUUGUGAAGCAUUCCAUAUUGUG